AGAGAACCUUCACAGCAGAUAUUGACGAGAGAGAGAGAGAGAGAGAGAGAGAGAGAGAGAGAGACAGUCACAGGCAGAUAUUAACGAGAGAGAGAGAGAGACAGAGAGAGAGAGACCGCCACACGCAGAUUGAUGAGAGAGAGAGAGAGAGAGAGAGAGAGAGAGAGAGAGAGAGUGUGAGUGAGGGAGAGAGAGAGAAAGUGAGGGGGGGGGGAGAGAGAGAGAAAGAGAGAUAGAGAGAGAGAGAGAACCUUCGCAGGCAGAUAUUGACGAGAGAGAGAGAGAGAGAGAGAGAGAGACCGUCACACUCAGACAGUGACAGGAGAGCGAGAGCGAGACCAUCUCACGCAGAGAGCGAUAGAAGAGAGAGAGGGAUACCAAUAUACGCAGAGAGUGAUUGAAGCGAGAGAGAAAGAGAGCCACUGUCACACGCAGUGAGUGAUAGGACAGAGAGAGCGAGAGAGAGAGACCGUCACACGCAGAUAUAAACGAGAGAGAGAGAGAGACGGAGAGAGAGAGACGCCACACGCAGAUUGAUGAGAGAGAGAGAGAGAGAGAGAGAGAGAGAGAGAACCUUCACAGGCAGAUUAUUUGACGAGAGAGAGAGAGAGAGAGAGAGUGAGAGAGAGCGAGAGAGAGAGAGACACAUGCAGAUUGAUAAGAGAGAGAGAGAGAGAGAGAGAGGAGAGAGCGAUAGGAGAGAGAGAGACCAAUAUACGCAGAGAGUGAUAGAAGCGAGAGAGAAAGAGAGCCACUGUCACACGCAGUGAGUGAUAGGACAGAGAGAGCGAGGGAGAGAGACAGACCGUCAUACGCCCAGAGUCAUAGGACAGAGAGAGAGAAGGAGACCGUCACACGCAGAGUGUGAUCGGAGAGAGAGAGCGACAAACGCCGAGACUGAUCGGACUGAUAGGGUGAGAGACCGUAACACGCAGUGAGUGAUGGGAGAGAGCGAGACCAUCUCACCGCAGAGAGUGAUAGGAGAGAGAGAGGGAGAGACCGUCACACGCAGAGAGUGAUCGGAGAGAGAGAGCGAGAGACCGUCAAACGCAGAUUGAUGAGAGAGAGAGAGAGAGAGAGAGAGAGAGAGAGAGAGAGCGUCACACGCAGACAGUGAUAGGAGAGCGAGAGCGAGACCAUCUCACGCAGAGAGCGAUAGGAGAGAGAGAGAGAGAGAGACACCAAUAUACGGAGAGAGUGAUAGACGCCAAGAGAGAAAGAGAGCCACUGUCACACGCAGUGAGUGAUAGGACAGAGAGAGCGAGAGAGAGAGAGAGAGAGAGGGAGGGAGAGAGAGAGAAAACCUUCACAUGCAGAUAUAAACGAGAGAGAGAGAGAGACGGAGAGAGAGAGUCCGCCACACGCAGAUUGAUGAGAGAGAGAGAGAGAGAGAGAGAGGCAGACAGUCACAUGCCAGAGUCAUAGGAGAGAGAGAGAGAAAGAGACCGUCACACGCAGAGUGUGAUCGGAGAGAGAGAGCGACAAACGCCGAGAGUGAUAGGACAGUGAGAGCGAGAGCGAGAACCGUCACAAGCAGAUAUUAACGAGAGAGAGAGAGACGGAGAGAGAGAGACCGGCCACACGCAGAUUGAUGAGAGAGAGAGAGAGAGAGAGAGAGAGAGAACCUUCACAGGCAGAUAUUGACGAGAGAGAGAGACCGUCAUACGCCCAGAGUCAUAGGAGAGAGAGAGAGAAAGAGACCGUCACAGGCAGAGUGUGAUCGGAGAGAGAGAGAGCGACAAACGCCGAGACUGAUUAGGACAGCGAGAGCGAGAGCGAGAGAGGCCGUCACAAGCAGAUAUUAACGAGAGAGAGAGAGAGACGGAGAGAGAGAGUCCGCACACGCAGAUUGAUGAGAGAGAGAGAGAGAGAGAGAGGCAGACAGUCACAUGCCCAGAGUCAUAGGAGAGAGAGAGAGAAAGACCGGCACACGCAGAGUGUGAUCGGAGAGAGAGUGCGACAAACGCCGAGACUGAUAGGACAGUGAGAGCGAGAGCGAGACCGUCACAAGCAGAUAUUAACGAGAGAGAGAGAGACGGAGAGAGAGAGACCGCCACACGCAAGAUUGAUGAGAGAGAGAGAGAGAGAGAGAGAGAGAGAGAGAGAGA